CCUACGGGUGACUGCAGUGAGGAAUAUUGGUCAAUGGACGAGAGUCUGAACCAGCCAAGUAGCGUGAAGGAUGACUGCCCUAUGGGUUGUAAACUUCUUUUAUAAAGGAAUAAAAUGAGGCACGUGUGCUUCUUUGCAUGUACUUUAUGAAUAAGGAUCGGCUAACUCCGUGCCAGCAGCCGCGGUAAUACGGAGGAUCCGAGCGUUAUCCGGAUUUAUUGGGUUUAAAGGGAGCGUAGAUGGGUUGUUAAGUCAGUUGUGAAAGUUUGCGGCUCAACCGUAAAAUUGCAAUUGAUACUGGCAUUCUUGAGUACAGUUGAGGUAGGCGGAAUUCGUGGUGUAGCGGUGAAAUGCUUAGAUAUCACGAAGAACCCCGAUUGCGAAGGCAGCUUACUAAACUGUAACUGACAUUGAUGCUCGAAAGUGUGGGUAUCAAACAGGAUUAGAUACCCCGGUAGUC
rnacentral:rRNA from 1 species